rnacentral:lncRNA from 1 species
CUGACCUCGUGAUCCGCCUGCCUCGGCCUCCCAAAGUGCUGGGAUUACAGGCGUGAGCCACCGCGCCCGGCCGCUGCUUUAAGUUCUUAACACGUCCUCACCGCGGCUCAGCUCACUGUACGGCCCCUGCAUAGAGAGGGGAGGGCAGGGGCCAUGAUACUGAACUCACAGCUCUGGGCAUUUCUGAAGUCUGGCCCUUGAAGCUUUUCCUAGAGCAAAUUGUUUUCUUCUCCCCUUCAGGAAACUGAAAAUUCACACAGCAGCCGUGGGAGUCAGAGUAGCAAAGGCUUUGAGAUCACAUAGACCUGGGACACGUGCUUGCUUUGUGAUUACGGGUGCGGGGACUGCUUGCCAACCCAUGGCAACUCACCUGUAGCGCAUGGAGAUUUGGGGGUAAACCCAGUGAUGCUGAGUAUGUGGGCUGCCCAAGCUGGGUGGCAACCAACCCCAGCAUUGAAUGUGCUGAGAGCUGGACCGGUGGAUGUCCCCACUGCCCUGAGGCAGGUCCAGGAGAAGGCUCCUACCUGCUGUGCAGAGGGCAAGCCCCAAGUCAAGACUCCCAAAAUGUUACCAGAUGUCAGGCAUGAAAUAUACACCCCUGGCAAGCUCUGCCAUGCACAGGAGUCAUGCUGCUUUCAAUCCACGGGAGAGCCGGACACGAGCGUUCCAAGGCAGGAGCAGAACUCCAUGUUGGCCAUUAUAAAGACAAGAUUCCUUUUCCCCCGCUUUUUAUAGCCUCUCUGGGUAAGAUGUGUCUGGAAGGAGGUGUGGGCCAGGAAAGAGCAUAUGUCUGAUGCCUGGGAUUCCAGGACAGAAAGUACAGCCGACUCCAAGCUCUUGGGAUGGGAUUGGAGGGUCUCAAAACCUUGCCAGCUUUGGAGUCAGAGAGAAAAGAGUCCCAACCCCAGAUUUAUCAUUUGCUAACAAAUGUGACCUUGGGCAAAUCAGCUCACCUCUCUGGCCCUCAACAGAGAUAAUCCUGGGACCUAUUUCACAGUCAUGGAGAGGAUUAAAUGGGAAGAGGAAUAAAAGGAGUUUGGAGAAGUGCCCAGGACAUAGUAUGCACUGAGCAAAUUCCGUAGUAAGAGGAGUAUUAGUAAUAGCUACUAUUGAUUAGGUGGUGUUGUGAGUUGAACAGUGUUCCCCCAAAAUUCAUGUCCACCCAGAGACACAGAAUGUGACCAUUUGUGGAAAUAGGGUCUUUGCAAAUGUAAUUAGUUAAGAUGAGGUCAUACUAGAUUAGGGUAGGCCCUA